ACGUCAAGUCCUCAUGGCCCUUACGGGCUGGGCUACACACGUGCUACAAUGGCGGUGACAAUGGGCAGCUAACCCGCGAGGGUGAGCUAAUCUCCAAAAACCGUCUCAGUUCGGAUUGCACUCUGCAACUCGAGUGCAUGAAGUUGGAAUCGCUAGUAAUCGUGGAUCAGCAUGCCACGGUGAAUACGUUCCCGGGCCUU
rnacentral:rRNA from 1 species